rnacentral:rRNA from 1 species
GUUCAGAGUACGUGAAACCGUUCAGGGGUAAACCUGAGAAACCCAAAAGAUCGAAUGGGGAGAUUCAUCGUCAGCGCAUUUUGUAUAUGUAUAAGUUAUGAUGCGGGUUACUCUUGUAGUAUUGCCUGUACAUUCUUGUGCAUUUUGUUGCAAGAUGUUGUCGGCGUGCACUUCUCCCCUAGUAGGACAUCGCGACCCGUUGGGUGUCGGUCUACGGCCCAAAUGGUAGCCUUUAAUGUUUUUUUUAUUAAAUACAUUGAAGACCUUUGGUGUUUCCUGACCGACUGCUCGGCGGUACUCGUACGGUAUUAAGCCGCAUAAUUAUAUGCGUCCAUACCCGUCGCAAGCAAGGUUAAUUUUUGGUAGUACGGACUUAGUGCCGUCGCUGAAAUUAAUCAGCUGUUGGUUGUACGGUGUUCUAGGACUGGCUUAAAUUUUUUUUACCGGUCGGCGAUGCUACUGCUUUGGGUACUUUCAGGACCCGUCUUGAAACACGGACCAAGGAGUCUAACAUGUGCGCGAGUCAUUGGGAUUUUUUAAAAAAUUAAACCUAAAGGCGUAAUGAAAGUAAAGGUUGUCCUUGUGUCAACCGAGGGAGGAUGAGUUGUAAUAAAAAUACAGCUUCGCACUCCCGGGGCGUCUCAUUCUCAUUGCGAGAAGAGGCGCACCUAGAGCGUACACGUUGGGACCCGUACUCUUGUAGUAUUUGGUAGCGUUGGUUGU